rnacentral:rRNA from 1 species
CAGCAGCCACGGUAAUACGAAGGGGGCUAGCGUUGCUCGGAAUUACUGGGCGUAAAGGGAGCGUAGGCGGAUGUUUAAGUCAGAGGUGAAAGCCCAGGGCUCAACCUUGGAACUGCCUUUGAUACUGGACAUCUUGAGUGUGGGAGAGGUAAGCGGAACUCCGAGUGUAGAGGUGAAAUUCGUAGAUAUUCGGAAGAACACCAGUGGCGAAGGCGGCUUACUGGCCCAUUACUGACGCUGAGGCGCGAAAGCGUGGGGAGCAAACAGGAUUAGAUACCCCAGUAGUCCCUGUCUCUUAUAC